GGCCGUGUGGUGUAGUGGUUAGAGCGUUAGUCUAGGACCGGGGUGACCUGGGUUCGAAUCCCCACUCGGCCA